AGGUGGCUUCCAGCCGUCGCGCGGUCGCCGGACUCAAGCCGACGUUGCCGUGUUCGUUGGAGGUGGGCGCGCGAGGGCUCCGCCUCACGGUGACCGGCGCCCGGCACGCGCCGGCCCCGCAGCGCAACGGCUUCCACAAACACAAGCCGAUCAAGAACUUCAGCCACUUUUUCCAGCUGAAGAAUAUUUCUUUCUGUGGUUUCCACCCCAAAAACCCAUGCUACUUUGGGUUCAUCUGCAAGCACCCAACGGACGGCAGUUUUGCCUGCCACGUGCUCCUCUCCACUCAGU